UGACGUUCCCUCCACGGAGGCGGUGCUGGCUUUCCGGUUUCUCGCAGUUAUUCUUUUUCCUUGCCUGCUGCAGUUUGUUUCUGACAUGAAAUAGUUACCAGUUCAGUAAAAUUAUCUCGAACGUGUGCCUGUUACGCAAACCAGCGCCUUGUACACUAGCGCUAAGCUACUGGUGAGAUCGGGAGCCGCGACGCGAGGGCAUUUCGCGAGCAGACAUCACACACCGACCGUCUGAGCGAGGCCGCUCGCUUCGCUUGCACGUUUGCCCUUCGCAACGACUGCGUCGAGUAAACCAAUUGUAUUUAAUUACGGCCGACCUAAGUGUACAGUGUUCAUUGUUUUGGCAAAAAUAAGCACUCUUCGACGAGCUCGGACUGGAUCGCAAGCGCCGUCGGCUGCAGCGUCCGCCUAGCUAUGCCUACCGGCCCUAUCGCUGGCUUUAGCGGAGCCGUCAGUGGACAACCCGCCGUCGUGAAGUGUUCUGUCACUCACAGGGGCAUAAUUUUAUCGACAGCCUUCGCGUAAAGCGAAGCAGUGUGGUGCAGAGUUGUUUAUAUUGCGUUUCUCGACGUGAAUAUCAACUCAAGCUGGGGAGUUGGAUGUGGGCGGAGCUUACGCGCCGCUCAUGCCGUAGCAUGCAGCGCCGCACGUCGGAUCGGACACCGAAUCGUACCGCGUGCGUCUGUAUAGCUCGCUCAUGGUUCGGCUGAAGUCCCCGUAUACACUUUAUAAAUAAGGAAGCCUACCUAGGCACUGUAAACCCAAUUAUUGGGGCCUAAAUGCCUCUCCGCCUCCUACUACGGCUUCCUUUGAGUGACAGUCUGAUCUCGAAGGCCAUGCUUUUGCAACCUGCAUGCACCUGAAGCAAUUGCGAAUCUUGAAGGCAACAUCCGCUUAGUUUUUAUUAUAUAUACAUUUCCUUAAACUUCGUAUCACAAAGUACAAAGUACACACUUCUGGACCAAAUAAAUUUAUUAAAAGACUCUAUCAAAUGUUAUUAGGAAAAAACACGCAAUUUUUUCAUUUAAGAUACAUUUUUCUAAAAAACCGCAGAGUGGCGCUACUGUAGUAUUUGUUUGGUCGACACACCACGUUGGUUGUCGUUAGUGCUCCCUGCAGUAAGGUGGUAUUUGAGGUAAAUUUUAGAAGUGCCUAGACAAAACGUGCUGCUUGUUGUGUGCAGUGACCAUCCCAAACCCUCCGGACUCGUGUAACGCCAUUAGUUCGCCGUGUGUUUCGAGCGAUCCACCAGUGUCGUCAGUGAGUGCCCUAGUACAGCUCCCGUGCGAACUGCCUUUGUUCUGCCGAGCUGCCUGCCGGCGCUCUCGUCAAAAGUCUGGUACUGGGGCUUCGAAUUGUAGUGUUUGGAAGACUGUUGAAGGUUGUGCUUUUGUGGAGCUGGAGUUCAUCGGCAGUUCUACAGUGCUUGCGCCAGAGAAACGUCGGUGCUUCUGUACCUGUUAGACGAAGGAGCGUUUGCCAAGUCUUGAAAGGUAGACAUCGGUGACAGUGUAUACGUUGAAAAGGGCCUGCUGAAGAGGCUGUGCCUGGAUGCUAACAACUCAGGCUUUCACUUCGCGGAGGGCCUCCUUAAAGCUCCUUUUUCAAUAGAACACGUUGAAGGGAGGUCCUUCUUUGGGCGGCUGUCAAAUGCCUUCCACAGAAGGAUCCGUUGGAUUCCAAGAAGGUCAACACCAUAGUAGACUACACAACGCAACAUUUCAGCCUACUUCCAGGGCAACUGGAGAACUCGUCCUCCUUACUAGCCCGGGGAUAUUAAAUGGAUGUGUUCAAGCACAAAUGGAAACCCGUCUUCUUCUGUUGCAUGCCACACCUAGCCACUUGGCAAUCACUAUUCGCCAAAGACAGAUAGUUGACAGGAUGUUACUAGCAAGUCGUUAGGAUAUAUAAAGGUGGUUAAUAAAUAGUCAUUGCACAGUUUUUAGGAAGCAAAUAAAAAUUUUAUUCAGAGAUAAUCAAAGCUUACUUUUGCAAUAUAUAAUUGCAAAAGUAAUUACCUCUGGAUAAAAUUUUUAUGUACUUUCUAAAAACUGUGAAGCGACUAUUUAUUAACCACCUUUAUACAUCCUAACGACUAUCUAGUAAUAUCCUGUCAACUAUCUGUGGCGAAUAGUCGACAGGAUGUUACUAGCAAGUAGUUAGGAUGUAUAAAGGUGGUCAAUAAAUAGUCGCUUCACAGUUGACACUUUCUAACGACAUAAGAUAAUAAGCAGUCGGUAAGAAUUCUAUCGACAUUUUAUAUCUAUACUUUCAAUUCAAUAUCGGUGGCCAAUAGUCGGCAGGAGGUUACUAGGAAGUUGUUACGGUGUCUAAAGACGUUUUAUAGAAUGUCGAUAGGUUCUAGUAACAUUUGUCUAAAGACUGUUUAUAAAAUGUUACUAAAAUUUUUUGUA